rnacentral:lncRNA from 1 species
GAGCUGUUUCCCUAGUCCCUGCAUACCUGGAUAUAGAAUUCUAAAUUGACAUGUUUCCCUACAUUUUUUUUUUGACAGGAUCUUUGUACAUAGCACUGUCUGUCUUGGUACUCCCUGUGUAGACCAGGAUGACCUCAAACUCACAGAGUCCAUCUGCCUCUGCCUCCUGAGUUUUGGAAUUAAAGACAUGUGCCUGGCCUACUUGUCAGUUUAUAAAGAUAUUAUUCUUUUUUGCUUUGUUUGUUCAGACAGGGUCUUUCCCUGUAGCCUGAUCUUGAACUUGAUGUGGUCCUGCUGCCUUUUGUUCCCUGAAUUCUGAUAACAGGUGUGUGUCACCACACCCUGCUUAUAAUUGUUCUGAUGAGAAAGAUGCAUUUCUUUGUUCUUCCUUAUAUAUUAUUUCUUUUCUGUUUGAUUUUCAACAACUUUAUUGCUAUAUACUUCAGCUUUCUUGUGAUUGAUGCACUAUUAUGAACCUGUAUUGAUACUGUUCAUCAAACCUGCAUUAUUUUUUCUAGUCUGCCUUGGUACGUACCAAGUUGUGCUUUUCUCUGCAAGUCUCACUUGUAUACAUGUCUCUAGUCGGCUGGAUUUGUCACAGGCCACUGUAUCUCUCAAUUUCCUUUUUGUUUUCAGUUUGUGUAGUUCCUGUUGUCUUCUCUUUAAAGAUUACUGAUGCUGCUAUUUAUAAUAAGCUAAAUUCAUCCAGUGGGUUUUCAAGUUUGAAGUAUGCUUGUUAUAAAAAUUUGCUUUUGUUUUGUUUAAGACAGGACUGUCUUAGAAUUUAGUGUGUAAAGCAGACUGGCCUCAAAUCCACAGACAUGUUGCUUGCUUCUGCCUGCUUGGGUGCUGAGAUUAAAGAUGUGUGCCACCACACCCAGCUGUCUUAGUUAUAGUCUCUGACCCAUCAGUUUUAUGUUUUCUUGUGUUUCUAGUGUAAACUCUAGACCAAAGCUUUCUGGGCUCUGUUAACCACUUUGUUCAGACAUGGUGGCUGAGAAGGCAAGUGCUCUGUGGUCUUUCCAAGGGCAAAGGGUCGGGUGGUCAGGCUUGGGAUCCUUUUCAGAUUGUGACCUCUGAACAGGCCUUCGUCUAGUUGGGAUAGCUAGAACCUACGUCAGUGUAUCUCUCUCAGCAAGUUAGAGUUGUGUUCAUCUACCUAGCAUAUGUGUAGACAGGAGAAAGGCACUCAGAGGAAAGUCUUCAUACCUUAAGUUCCAUUUAUUUUCCCUUGGUGUCUUGAUUAUAAGCUCUUUAGAGCCAUCCAUACCUUUCAUCAUUGUAACAAGUUUUGGUCAAUUCACAAACCUUGUGUGAUACAAAGAGGUUGAAAGACAGCUGAAACUGGGUCUUUCUCAUCUUAAAGUUGAGCUUAGAGCACUGCUGUAGUAGAAGUUUGUGUCCGGUACUUUGAGGUGCUCAGUAAUCUUCUCUUAAGAAUAGCAGAGGGGCUGGGGAGACGGCUCGGUGGGUAAGAGCACUGACUGCUCUUUCAGAGGUUCUGAGUUCAAUUCCCAACAACCACAUGGUGGCUCACAACCAUCUGUAAUGGGAUCUGAUGCCUUCUUCUGGUGUGUCUGAAGACAGCUACAGUGUACUGAUCAAAUAAAUAAAUAAAUCUUUUUAUUUAAAAGAAUAUAUAGCAGAGAUGUCACAGGAAUAGUGAUUUUUUUACCUAUACAAUUAAGGUCUGAACAUUUGAAACAGGUUUAUAAAAUCAUAAAAACCAAAAUUGCAAGUACUCAAAAAUCUGGUAUAGUAAGAAUUUGGGUAUAUGUGAAAUACUGAGCAAGACAGAAACAUAGAAGAGUAGGCGUGACUGGGGGUUCCUGGUAGAGUUGCUCACUUUGUAAAAAUCAUGCCUUGGCUUCUGUUCCAAAAUGGCAAACAAAAACACACACCUUGCUGGGUGGUGGUGGCGCACGCCUUUAAUCCCAGGAUUUAAGAAGUAGAGGCAGGCAGAUUUCUGAGUUCGAGGCCAGCCUGGUCUACAGAGUGAGUUCAGGACAGCCAGGGCUA